CCUCUUGAUUCAAAAGAUUGUAACUACAGCAGUUGUCUUCCUAUAGGCCUGAUUGGACAAAUUUUAUGCUGGCAAAGCUACGAGUACGCUGUCUGCGCCAUGAAAAUUAUCCGUAAUAUUGCUUGUGACAAAGAUAAAUACGAGGCCGCCAAACGAUUGUGGGACGAAUUGGAGCGAAACAGAGAGUCUGAACGAUGUGGAUACUAUCUCGACCCAAGUUCCAAAACUGGUUUUUCGUUUGACGAAAGCAGAUCAGAACUCAAACAGUGCUAUGAUUUUUAUGACUACCAACCGUAUGAUUAUAUCAAUAACGAUUUUGAAU